rnacentral:rRNA from 1 species
GAUGAACGCUGGCGGCGUGCCUAAUACAUGCAAGUCGAGCGAACAGAUGAGGAGCUUGCUCCUCUGACGUUAGCGGCGGACGGGUGAGUAACACGUGGAUAACCUACCUAUAAGACUGGGAUAACUUCGGGAAACCGGAGCUAAUACCGGAUAAUAUAUUGAACCGCAUGGUUCAAUAGUGAAAGACGGUUUUGCUGUCACUUAUAGAUGGAUCCGCGCCGCAUUAGCUAGUUGGUAAGGUAACGGCUUACCAAGGCAACGAUGCGUAGCCGACCUGAGAGGGUGGUCGGCCACCCUGGAACUGAGCCACGGUCCAGACUCCUACGGGAGGCAGCAGUAGGGAAUCUUACGCAAUGGGCGAAAGCAUGACGGAGCAACGCCGCGUGAGUGAUGAAGGUCUUCGGAUCGUAAAACUCUGUUAUUAGGGAAGAACAAAUGUGUAAGUAACUAUGCACGUCUUGACGGUACCUAAUCAGAAAGCAACGGCUAACUACGUG